rnacentral:rRNA from 1 species
GACGAACGCUGGCGGCGUGCUUUAUACAUGCAAGUCGAACGAUGAAGUUCCUUCGGGAAUGGAUUAGUGGCGAACGGGUGAGGAACACGUGAGAAACCUGCCUUUCAUUCUGGGAUAACACCGGGAAACCGGUGCUAAUACCGGAUACUCCGUCUUGGCGGCAUCGCCGAGCCGGGAAAAAAUUUUGAUGAAAGAUGGUCUCGCGGCCUAUCAGCUAGUUGGUGAGGUAAAGGCUCACCAAGGCGACGACGGGUAGCCGGCCUGAGAGGGCGACCGGCCAAACUGGGACUGGGACACGGGCCAGACUCCUACGGGAGGCAGCAGUAGGGAAUAUUGGGCAAUGGGCGCAAGCCAGAACCAGCGACGCCGCGUGAGGGAUGAAGGUCUUCGGAUUGUAAACCUCUUUCAGUAGGGAAGAAGCGAAAGUGACGGUACCUAAAGAAGAAGCACCGGCUAACUAUGUGCCAGCCGCCGCCGUAA